rnacentral:rRNA from 1 species
AUACGGAGGGGGUUAGCGUUGUUCGGAAUUACUGGGCGUAAAGCGCACGUAGGCGGACUGAUCAGUUAGAGGUGAAAUCCCAGGGCUCAACCCUGGAACUGCCUUUAAUACUGUCAGUCUAGAGAUCGAGAGAGGUGAGUGGAAUUCCAAGUGUAGAGGUGAAAUUCGUAGAUAUUUGGAGGAACACCAGUGGCGAAGGCGGCUCACUGGCUCGAUACUGACGCUGAGGUGCGAAAGCGUGGGGAGCAAACAGGAUUAGAUACCCUAGUAGUCC